rnacentral:misc_RNA from 1 species
AUUCAUGGAUCACUCCGUGUUACUGUUCAGGGCGAAGUUAUUGAGCAAUCAUUUGGAGAGGAACACUUGUGCUUUAGAACCCUUCAGCGUUUCACAGCUGCCACACUGGAGCAUGGUAUGCAUCCCCCAGUCUCCCCAAAACCAGAAUGGCGUAAGCUGAUGGAUGAAAUGGCUGUUGUUGCUACAGAGGAGUACCGCUCUAUUGUCUUCAAAGAACCACGAUUUGUUGAAUAUUUCCGCCUUGCCAC